rnacentral:rRNA from 1 species
UGGGGAAUUUUGGACAAUGGGCGAAAGCCUGAUCCAGCAAUGCCGCGUGUGUGAAGAAGGCCUUCGGGUUGUAAAGCACUUUUGUCCGGAAAGAAAUCCUUGGCUCUAAUACAGUCGGGGGAUGACGGUACCGGAAGAAUAAGCACCGGCUAACUACGUGCCAGCAGCCGCGGUAAUACGUAGGGUGCAAGCGUUAAUCGGAAUUACUGGGCGUAAAGCGUGCGCAGGCGGUUUGCUAAGACCGAUGUGAAAUCCCCGGGCUCAACCUGGGAACUGCGUUGGUGACUGGCAGGCUAGAGUAUGGCAGAGGGGGGUAGAAUUCCACGUGUAGCAGUGAAAUGCGUAGAGAUGUGGAGGAAUACCGAUGGCGAAGGCAGCCCCCUGGGCCAAUACUGACGCUCAUGCACGAAAAGCGUGGGGAGCAAAACAGGAUUAGAUACCCUGGUAGUCCACGCCCUAAAACGAUGUCAACUAGUUGUUGGGGAUUCAUUCCUUAGUAACGUAGCUAACGCGUGAAGUUGACCGCCUGGGGAGUACGGUCGCAAGAUUAAAAACUUAAAGGAAUUGACGGGGUCAUA